UACUGGUUUGUGGAUGACCACAGAUCGCUCAGCAGGUCCGGUUGAUUUGAUUGUUGGAGGGACUGCAAAAAAAUAAUCUUAUGUGAUGGCUGUACAAACACAAUACCAUAUAAAUGCAUCUGUAAAAUGGAUCAGAAAUUUGGACUGACAGCAAGAGAGGAAGAGAUAUGAAUGAGCAUGUGUGUGCCAAUACGUGUUUACAACAAGGAGAACAGCACUUACUUGCCAUCUUUGAACCAAUGAAUGAUGGGGAAAGGAGAGCCACUGACUCUGCAUUCAAAAGUGAUGCCUUGGGUCAGAAUGACUGAGACUUCGCUUGGUGUAUCAGCACUUCUUAUUCUUCAUUUACUGCAAUGCAGACAUAUUCUCCAUUGUUGUAAGGCGUGACAGAGGAAAUGACCAGCAGCGCUCCAUCUUCCAAGAUUGAAAUUCCAGGUUCAUUCCCAGUUAGCUCCCUGUUAUUGUGCAACCAUUUUAUAACAGGCUUUGGGGUGCCUACAGAGAAUGACAAAGGAUUGUAAGUAUAGCCUCAGAAUUGUAAAUUCAAAAGCAAAGACAGUAUUUAAAGAUUUAAGCCUUAGGUCAUUUCUAUGGGUUGGUUUGCACAUAAUCAAGUGAAAAUUCAUAUACUAGUAAUUCAGUACAAUAUGUUUAGAUGAUCUGCAUUGGGAGAACCUGGAAGGUUGAGCUUCUCAUUUCUAAAGACAGUGUUGUAGUAUUCUUCGUAUAUAGCAAACUCACCAGCCAGCAGAGUCCUGUAGUAAAAGGUGUUUAUUCAAGCACUAAGAAGGCAGCUACUAAGGCUUUGGCUACACAGGCAUUAUAUCCCAAUCAUCAGUAGCUUCAAUACAUUGCAGGUGUAACAACAGGAAGUCUCCCCUUCAUGCAUAAUAAUUACACAUCUCACCAAAAAAAUAAAAGUAAAUACAUUUUAUAGAAGUAUUAAAAGAAAAAAAACAUACAUAUCAAAAUUACAAGAAAUAUCUCAUUAAAACUUACAAACUUCGUUACAUCACUAGACAGGAAGUUUGGCUUAAAGGCACAGUAUACCACAAGUGUAACCCCCAAAGCCACUAUCCUUUUUGUACAUCGAAUCAGUUUCCCAUGACAAACCGAGUAUUAACAGACCUACCUACUCUUUUUCUGCCAUCUUGGAAAAAGGGCAUUUUCUUAGCAAAGACAAAACAAAAACAACAAUGUAGAGAAAGAAGCUAUCACAGGUUUACUUUCUAUUCUAGUCACUACAAUACAAAACUAGAAAACUAAGACUUCACUUUACCUUAACUUUUGAAAAUGGAACUUACCCUUGAAAAGCAAUGUUUAGAACUAUACUGAUUUUCUCCUACAAUUUCAAAUUUUAUAAGGUGUUUUUCAUGCAAUAUUGAUUUAUCAUGACACUGGCUAAGAAGUAGUGUCAAUGUGAGAUUUGUGUAAUGAAAGUGUUUGAAUGUAAUUUGUGCCAUGCUUGUAUUGCAGUCAGAUUGCAUCAUCCAGAGUGUGUAACAGUGUGUAAAGAGUUAAUCACUAAUGAGCUAUGUUGACCUUGGUGUGUGGAUGGAACUAGGGAGGAUCCAGACACAAGAGUAUGUGCAUAUCUAUUGCAUCAGUUCAGUCUGUCUUGAGUUCGAGUGAAGUUUGAGAUCUGUUGGAGAACAGAUCAGUCCUGUGUUUGUUUGUUGUCUGCAAAAGUCUGUGCUGUUUACUGCUCCAUUCAGUAACGCUUUGUAUAUUGCUUUUACUGACGUCUCAAAGUGUCACUUCAUUCUGCGCUCCAUUGCUUUUCAUACUACUACCACUUCGCUGCAAUACUCUGACAUGUAGUGCUUCCAGAAGAUAGAAUAAACAGUACUAAAUGAUUUCCAUACCUUUGACUGGACAGGGGAAAGCAAUUUGCUGGCUUGCUACUCUUUCUUGUAAGGGAAUGUUGUAUGGUGGGUCAAGUGCACCAACAGAAGGUGGUUCUAAAAGAAAAGAAAAAAGAAAGAAAUUAAUCUUUUCUAAAUGCACAGUUCAAAUGCCUAUCUACUAAUCAUAUGUUGUGUUAGAAUUAAUUGAGGGUAAAGAAAAGACACAUUCUCUCAAUGAAAAACACAAAAACAGAUGCAAUUCAAUCCAGGUCAGUUAUGGGUCCCUGGGAUGUGUCUGGAUGUGAACAGAAAUACAAGUACACCUUACCAAGCUCAGCCCUACAAUCACUGGUGUACGGGCAUCGGUUACCUAGUAUUUGAAGCAUACCUUCCACCAGAUGGCUCAGGAAAAAGCAACACUGCCAUCUAGAGGGCUAUGUCAACUCCUGGAUACCCACAAAUUUACCCAGUGUGAUACAAAAGAGAUAAUUAAAACCCUUAGUAAAGGUAAAGGUUUCCCCUGACGUUAAGUCCAGUCAUGUCUGACUCUGGGGGUUGGUGCUCAUCUCCAUUUCUAAGCCAAAGAGCCGGCAUUGUCCGUAGACACCUCCAAGGUCAUGUGGCCGGCAUGACUGCAUGGAGCGCCGUUACCUUCCCACUGGAGCGGUACCUAUUGAUCUACUCACAUUUGGCAUGUUUUUGAACUGCUAGGUUGGCAGAAGCUGGAGCUAACAGCGGCUGCUCCCGGGGUUUGAACCUGGGACCUUUCGGUCUCCAAAUUCAGCAGCUCAGCGCUUGAACGCAUUUCGCCACUGGGGCUCCUUACAUACUUACUUAUUGAUAGUGACAAAUAGAAGUAUACAACACCUCUAUUAUUUAGCUACUAGCUGAAUAUGCUCUUUAUCACCACAAUAAAGAAAAUGACGCUAUCAAAAAGAAAAGCUUGAAAAGAGGGGUAUAAUUUCUUACAGAAAUGAGGAAUUCCCUUGAAGUUAAUACAAAUUCAUCCCAUGCUGAUACGUUAUCUAUUUGUUUUAACACAGACUGUAUCUUUCUACCUUCCAAUUGUCACUUAUACAGCUUUCUUUGGAUUGCAAGCAAACAUUGAAUGUGGAUGUUUUGGGUGCUGGAGGGGGGUAAUUUUGCAAAGUCUUUUCUCAAAUGUGUGGUGUUAUUUAUAAUUUAUGAAAAUUUAAAUGGAAAGAAGUUGCAAUCACUCAAAUGCCUCUUCACUGUAAAUGAAAUUAAAAUUCCCUUAUUUUAAAAAAAAGAGCUGAUCCUUCUUAGUGCUCAUUUAUAAUUACCUUGAACAUGGAUCAUUAUUUCAGCCUCAUCGUGGCCUGCAAUGUUGCUUGCUCUGCAUGUAUAGGUCCCAGAGUCUGAAAGCAGGACUUUAAUGAGGCUCAAUGUUCCAUCCGCAGCAACAGCAUAUUGUUUGUUGUCGAUUAAAACAGGAUCUUCGUCUUUCAACCAAGUGAUCAUCGGAGGUGGGAUCCCUUGAGCAUUGCAAGGAAUAUCAACUCUAUGGCCAACUUUGGCUUUCAUUAUGCGAGGCCCACGUUGUAUCUUUGGAGGAACUAAGCAAAGUGUUUUCAUUAAUGCUUACAUGCUGGAAGAUGUCAGCAAUCAAUUCAGUAACAUGUGACCAACCUAGUCCCUGUAAUAUUUUUAACAUUGCUACUUUCCCAGUGUAUUAAAAAUAAAUAGAAGGUCAUCUUAUCAAUA